GAAAUUCUUUUGGAAAUUUGAUCCUGAAAAUUGGUUUAUCUCAUUUUAAUUGACUUUGGGUCGGAAUUAGGCUAAUUAGAUGUAGCUGAAAUCUUCUGAUGUAAUUUUCACUUUCUCCUUCUUUCUGAUUCAUUCAAGUUGAGAUAAUUUGUAAUAAUUAUGGGGUAUAUAGUAAAAAAUGGGGGAGAGUUACUUAUUGUAUGCACAAG
rnacentral:lncRNA from 1 species